UGGGGAAUCUUGCGCAAUGGCCGAAAGGCUGACGCAGCGACGCCGCGUGUGGGAGGAAGCUCUUCGGGGUGUAAACCACUGUUGCCCGGGACGAACACUUGGUUUUGACCAAGCUGACGGUACCGGGUGAGGAAGCACCGGCUAACUCUGUGCCAGCAGCCGCGGUAAUACAGAGGGUGCGAGCGUUGUCCGGAAUCACUGGGCGUAAAGGGCGCGUAGGUGGUGGCUUAAGCGUGCGGUGAAAGCUCGGAGCUCAACUCCGAGUCGGCCGUGCGAACUGGGCUCACUGGAGCAUAGUAGAGGCAGGUGGAAUUCCGGGUGUAGCGGUGGAAUGCGUAGAGAUCCGGAAGAACACCGGUGGCGAAGGCGGCCUGCUGGGCUAUGGCUGACACUGAGGCGCGACAGCGUGGGGAGCAAACA
rnacentral:rRNA from 1 species